CUGGCUCAGGAUAAACGCUGGCGGCGCACAUAAGACAUGCAAAGUCGAACGGACUUAAUCGAUUCUUUUAGAUUCGAAGCGGUAGUGGCGGACUGGUGAGUAACACGUAAGCAAACCUGCCUAUUAGAGGGGGAAUAACAGUGAGAAAUCACUGCUAAAACCGCAUAUGCCGUGAACAUCGCAUGAUGAAAACGGGAAAAGAGCAAUCUGCUAAUAGAUGGGCUUGCGUCUGAUUAGCUAGUUGGUGUGGUAAAGGCAUACCAAGGCAACGAUCAGUAGCCGGACUGAGAGGUUGAACGGCCACAUUGGGACUGAGAUACGGCCCAAACUCCUACGGGAGGCAGCAGUGGGGAAUAUUGCACAAUGGGGAAACCCUGAUGCAGCGACGCCGCGUGAGUGAAGAAGUAUUUCGGUAUGUAAAGCUCUAUCAGCAGGGAAGAAAUGACGGUACCUGACUAAGAAGCCCGGCUAACUACGUGCC
rnacentral:rRNA from 1 species